rnacentral:lncRNA from 1 species
GAUUCCCGUCUAGCCCCAUCUUUUCCUCAUUUCCUCUCUGACACUGCUCCUUCAUUCUCCCUACCUUACUAUCGUAUCUCUCCCACACAUUUCCCUAAUACCCCCCAAAUUUAUCCCACAGCCCCAUCUUUCUCCCACAUUGCUGUAUCACCCCAAACUUCUCCCCCACCUCCCUCACCGUCCAAACUCUCAGUCUCUUAUCUCUUCCUCACAUACCCCCCCGUCACCCCCAAACUCCUCCCACCCCCCAAUUCCGCCCCCACCUCCUUACCCUCCAAACUCCUCCCACACUCCCCCCAUCUCACUCUUACACACUUCAUCACCCACCGAACUCCUCUUAUACUCUCCUGUUCUCCCCCAACAAACCUCACCCCAAAUUUCUCCUACGAUCCCCCACUUCUCCCACAUCCACUCCUUCGCUGCCCCCCAAACUCCUCCCAUGUCUCCCCUACACUCUCAUAUCUCGCUCACAUUCCAUCACCCCUAAACUCCUUCCAGACUCCCCCCUUUCUUUCUCCCCCGCCUCGCUCCUUCCCCACUCCCCUGCUCCCCGCUUCUCGCUCUCACCUCCCUCGCGCCCCCCUUCCCGCCCCCCUCCCUCCCUCCUCCUUGCCCCCUCUCUCCCUCUCUCCUCCUUCCCUCCUCUCUCCCUCCUUCUCCUUCUCUUCCUCUCUUCUCCCAUCCCCCUCUCUCUUGCUCCCUCCCUUCCCCUCCUCGUCCCUUCGCCUCCCGCUUUCCUGUGCGAGUCUCCGGACGCGCGGCGGAGCCCGCCCGCAGCCCGCGCCGGCCCGGGGGCCUCUCUCUGGGACACAUUUUUGGGGGGGUUGGGGAGCAGGAUCGGAUCCGAGAAAGGGCUCGGGAGGGGGGCGGCGAUCGGACCAGAAGAGGGGCGGUAGAGCGGAGGGCGGAGGGGAGGAGAAGCAGGAGGAGGAGGAGGAGGAGGAGGAGGAGGAGAGGGAAGGGCUCGGGCUCGGAGGGGGCCGGGACCCCGGGCCCGGGAAGGCAGCGGUGUCAGCGGCGGCGGGCCCCGGGAGGGGCAGGCUGGGGCCAGCGGGGUCGGGGCCGGGGGAGGCGGCCGCGGGGCGGGGGGGGCGAGGCAAAGUGGGGAGUCAAGGGCGGGGGGCUUCCGAGGGCGGUCGAUCGGCCAGGGGGAUGGGGGCCGCCCCCGCGGGGGCCCGGAGCCGCCGCCGCGGCGACUGA